rnacentral:rRNA from 1 species
GUGCCAGACUCCUACGGGAGGCAGCAGUGAGGGAUAUUGGUCAAUGGGCGGAAGCCUGAACCAGCCAAGUCGCGUGAGGGAAGAAGGCCCUGCGGGUCGCAGACCUCUUUGGACGGGGAGCAAGGCCGCCGACGUGUCGGCGGAAGGAGAGUACCCGUAGAACAAGCAUCGGCUAACUCCGUGCCAGCAGCCGCGGUAAUACGUAGGUGGCAAGCGUUAUCCGGAUUUACUGGGUGUAAAGGGCGUGUAGGCGGGUCUGCAAGUCAGAUGUGAAAUUCCAGGGCUCAACCCUGGACCUGCAUUUGAAACUGUAGAUCUUGAGUGAUGGAGAGGCAGGCGGAAUUCCGUGUGUAGCGGUGAAAUGCGUAGAUAUACGGAGGAACACCAGUGGCGAAGGCGGCCUGCUGGACAUUAACUGACGCUGAGGCGCGAAAGCGUGGGGAGCAAACAGGAUUAGAUACCCUUGUACA